rnacentral:rRNA from 1 species
GAUGAACGCUAGCGGCAGGCUUAAUACAUGCAAGUCGUGGGGCAGCAGGUCUGUAGCAAUACAGAUGCUGGCGACCGGCAAACGGGUGCGUAACACGUACGCAACCUUCCCGUUACUGGGGAAUAGCCCAGGGAAACUUGGAUUAAUACCCCAUAUUAUAUUGGUUAGGCAUCUGACUGAUAUCAAAGCUUCGGCGGUAACGGAUGGACGUGCGGUUGAUUAGGUAGUUGGCGGGGUAACGGCCCACCAAGCCUACGAUCAAUAGCUGAUGUGAGAGCAUGAUCAGCCACACGGGGACUGGGACACGGGCCCGACUCCUACGGGAGGCAGCAGUAAGGAAUAUUGGGCAAUGGACGAAAGUCUGACCCGGCCAUGCCGCGUGAAGGAUGAAGGUCCUCUGGAUUGUAAACUUCUUUUAUCUGGGGCGAAAAUCGGUUAUUCUUAGCCGCUUGACAGUACCAGAUGAAUAAGCACCGGCUAACUCCGUGCCAGCCGCCGCCGUAAAAC